rnacentral:rRNA from 1 species
GCAUCUCUCUUACACUGAGAAAAUAUCCAUGCAAAUUGGGUCUCCCUGACACCUAACAGCUAGCCUAAAUAAAUAAAACUGAUAUUACAAGACUAAAAACUUAUAAUACAUUAAAUAAACCAUUUUAAGCCCUCAGUAUGAGAGACAAAAAAGGGCAUAAGAGCUAUAGAUAGAGUACCGCAAGGGAAAACUGAAAAAGAAAUGAAAUAAACUAUUUAAGUAUCAAACAGCAGAGUUAACCUCUCGUACCUUUUGCAUCAUGAUUUAGUAAGUAAAAUACAAGCAAAGAGCCCUUUAGUUUGUAACCCCGAAACUAUGCGAGCUACUUCAAGACAGCCUAUAAGGACAAACCCGUCUCUGUGGCAAAAGAGUGGGGAGAGCUUUAAGUAGAGGUGACAAACCUAUCGAGCAUAGUAAUAGCUGGUUGCCUGAGAAAUGGAUAGAAGUUCAGCCCUUAUAAAUUUCUCCCCCCAAGCCCUACGCUUGUCAAGACUAAAGAAGACAUAAGGAGUUAGUCAGAAGGGGUACAGCUCUUCUGAUAAAAAAAACAACUU